rnacentral:rRNA from 1 species
AGUGAACGCUGGCGGUAGGCCUAACACAUGCAAGUCGAACGGCAGCACAGUAAGAGCUUGCUCUUACGGGUGGCGAGUGGCGGACGGGUGAGGAAUACAUCGGAAUCUACUUUUUCGUGGGGGAUAACGUAGGGAAACUUACGCUAAUACCGCAUACGACCUACGGUUGAAAGCAGGGGAUCUUCGGACCUUGCGCGUUUGAAUGAGCCGAUGUCGGAUUAGCUAGUUGGCGGGGUAAAGGCCCACCAAGGCGACGAUCCGUAGCUGGUCUGAGAGGAUGAUCAGCCACACUGGAACUGAGACACGGUCCAGACUCCUACGGGAGGCAGCAGUGGGGAAUAUUGGACAAUGGGCGCAAGCAUGAUCCAGCCAUACCGCGUGGGUGAAGAAGGCCUUCGGGUUGUAAAGCCCUUUUGUUGGGAAAGAAAAGCAGCAGGUUAAUACCCCGCUGUUCUGACGGUACCCAAAGAAUAAGCACCGGCUAACUUCGUG